rnacentral:rRNA from 1 species
AUUGAACGCUGGCGGCAGGCCUAACACAUGCAAGUCGAGCGGAUAAAGGGAGCUUGCUCCUGGAUUCAGCGGCGGACGGGUGAGUAAUGCCUAGGAAUCUGCCUGGUAGUGGGGGAUAACGUCCGGAAACGGGCGCUAAUACCGCAUACGUCCUGAGGGAGAAAGUGGGGGAUCUUCGGACCUCACGCUAUCAGAUGAGCCUAGGUCGGAUUAGCUAGUUGGUGGGGUAAAGGCCUACCAAGGCGACGAUCCGUAACUGGUCUGAGAGGAUGAUCAGUCACACUGGAACUGAGACACGGUCCAGACUCCUACGGGAGGCAGCAGUGGGGAAUAUUGGACAAUGGGCGAAAGCCUGAUCCAGCCAUGCCGCGUGUGUGAAGAAGGUCUUCGGAUUGUAAAGCACUUUAAGUUGGGAGGAAGGGCAGUAAGUUAAUACCUUGCUGUUUUGACGUUACCAAAAGAAUAAGCACCGGCUAACUUCGUG